UUUGGAUUCCAUCUCUCAUGCAACAUAAUUGCCCCAAACUUACAAAAAGGCACAAACAGUAACAUCCCUCGUUUCUCAAGCAAAGGUCUUUUAAGGGAGUAUGUGAGCACAGACGUUCACUUCGCCUAGCCGAGUUCUACUAGGAGCAAACUGAACCGAUGUAUGAGAACGCCUUAAGACACAGUGCAGGUAUCGGGAGUCAACAUUUACAUAGAUCAGGGUUGAGAAAGUGUGUCACAGUGUGUGUCGGCUUUUGUACCAGGCUACCUCUAACACACCUGAUUCACCUAAUCAUGGUCUGCAAUUAAAACCACUAUUAUGAAGCAGGUGCGUUUGUGCUGGGUUGGAACAUAAUAAUGCAGGCAGCCUCACAGGACAGCACAGGAGUUGCUCACCCCUGAUAUAAAUUCCUCUGCUUAGUAGAGAAUAAUCCAAUACUCUCUCAGCUGAUAGGUUUGACGAACCAAGCUAAUGUUCUCAUUCCCAUUCAUCCUCUACAGUUCAGUCCUGAGAAGCCUGUGAGAUCAGAGACUGAAGAAGCCGUCCCUUAAAGACAAGGUCCACGGUGUCGUCCUUGUAGUGGAUUCUUCUAAAAGGUGUCCAGCUACACCAAAGGCUUAGGCACCACCUGCCAACAGCCCAGAGAACACAUCAGUGACCUGGGCGUGCAUCAAGUGGCAUUGCUGACACGUGGAUCAGGCUGGGGCUCUGCUUGGCAUGUCCACCUCCUACAUUGUCCCAGUGAAGAACUACUCGUAUGAGCUGGAAGUUGAUGAGAACACAGACAUCCUUCUGCUCAGUGCAGUGGCCCACAUCCUGCAAUAUGUAGACCUGCACUUCCGGGACAGUGCAGGGACAGAGCCUAAACUGUCUCUUUAAUCAA
rnacentral:lncRNA from 1 species